rnacentral:rRNA from 1 species
ACGCUCGACACCUACGGGAGGCAGCAGUGGGGAAUAUUGCACAAUGGGGGAAACCCGUGAUGCAGCAACGCCGCGUGAGUGAAGAAGUAUUUCGGUAUGUAAAGCUCUAUCAGCAGGGAAGAUAAUGACGGUACCUGACUAAGAAGCUCCGGCUAAAUACGUGCCACAGCCGCGGUAAUCUGAGCGGGCUGGCAAGGC